UACGUAGGGGGCUAGCGUUGUCCGGAAUCAUUGGGCGUAAAGCGCGCGUAGGCGGCCCGGUAAGUCCGCUGUGAAAGUCAAAGGCUCAACCUUUGAAUGUCAGCGGAUACUGCCGGGCUAGAGUCCGGAAGAGGCGAGUGGAACUCCUGGUGUAGCGGUGAAAUGCGCAGAUAUCAGGAGGAACACCCGUAGCGAAGGCGGCACUCUGGGCCGAUACUGACACUGAGGAGCGAAAGCGUGGGGAGCGAACAGG
rnacentral:rRNA from 1 species